rnacentral:ncRNA from 1 species
GGAACCUGCACACGUUGCGGAGCAACGAUAGUUAAAGA